rnacentral:rRNA from 1 species
CCUACGGGAGGCAGCAGUAAGGAAUAUUGGACAAUGGGCGCAAGCCUGAUCCAGCCAUGCCGCGUGUGUGAAGAAGGCCUUCGGGUUGUAAAGCACUUUUGUCCGGAAAGAAAAGCUUCGGGUUAAUAACCCGGAGUUACGACGGUACCGGAAGAAUAAGCACCGGCUAACUUCGCGCCAGCAGCCGCGGUAAUACGAAGGGUGCAAGCGUUACUCAGAAUUACUGGGCGUAAAGCGUGCGUAGGUGGUUUGUUAAGUCUGAUGUGAAAGCCCUGGGCUCAACCUGGGAACUGCAUUGGAAACUGGCUGACUAGAGUGCGGUAGAGGGGUGUGGAAUUCCCGGUGUAGCAGUGAAAUGCGUAGAUAUCGGGAGGAACAUCUGUGGCGAAGGCGACACCCUGGACCAGCACUGACACUGAGGCACGAAAGCGUGGGGAGCAAACAGGAUUAGAUACCCUGGUAG